GACUUUUUCUUAUUAAACAAAGCAUGUUGCCAACUCCUGAGCUGCUUAUGAGUUGCCAUGGAAACAGGAAGGUGGACCUCGAUGGCAGAUCACAAUGGAGGAAAGGUGCCUGUGAGCUGCCCACACAGCUGGGAAGUGAGGAAAGGAAAGACACUGCUCACUGUGAUUCUCCCAGAAAGUCAAGCAUGACACCACUUCCCCUCCCACACCGUGUGGUGAGAAUCAUCUAGCACUGCCCUCCAUACAUGGAGCUGUAGAAAUCUCCAGACAGAUUUUGUGACACCCAGGGACCCCUCAUGUGGGAGUGGGAGUCUGUGAGACUGAGCAGGAGACCCAGCUCCCCAGAUCCUGGAGAGGGUCCUGCUGGCAACUAGACAGCAGGGGUCAGCACUCGGGAAGGGAUGUCAUGCCGUCAGAUAGAUCCCUUACCCAGAGAACACAGGACAGUCAGGGAACCACAGCCUCUGGUUGGAAGGAACCACGGAGCUGCUGCCUAACCACUCCACCUCUGCAGGAAAUUCUGGUUACAGAGGGUCAUGGCCUCUCGGAGCCCAAGGGAGGCUCCGGCUCACCUGCUGGGGUAGAAAUGCUAUGGAGAGCGUGGGAGAAGCACCCUUCCUUCUUCUGCUUCAAAUGCUCCAGAAACCAUCCAAACACAUCUGAGACUGUUCACAUUGGUGAAAAGAAUACCACUUAGAAUCCUGUCCUGUCUUCUGGACAAUGUUCCUAUCUUGCUGAGAUAUCCCAGCAAAAACAACAUCUGUACACUACAGUGACCACACGAAAGUGGUGAUGAUAACACCUUUCGCUUCUCUGCAACAUUUACUUUCAAAGUGCACAGGUAUAAGGGGAAAAACACGGACCAUGGCAUCAGUGGUUGCAGUUCUGUCUCCUAGUUUGCAUGCUCACCAGCAGUCAGACUUCCAACAAGAUCCUCAGCGCCAACCCCCUAGGAGCCUCAGUCUUUCUCACAUAAAAUGGGGAAGUAAUGUCUACCUGACACAGGUGCUGCAAGCAGCAGAGACCUGGCAGCAAAGCCCUAGCACAGCAUGGAGUGCAUUAUAAAUUCCCAGGAAACGGUAGCUUGCGUCACCCUGCCACGGUCCAGAUGCUACGAGCAGUGAGGACUCAGUUAGGAGAGAGUUGUAACUCCACUGCCCAUCUGUGGGUGACCUCACACCUCACGGUGCCUAGCAGGGGGUGUGCAGGGCACGUGGGGAGGCGCUCCCUGCUGGAGGCUGGCCUUUGAGUUUAUACUCUGAGGCGAGCCCUCUGGACAGGUGUGCUGGAACACAGCGAUGGGCAGCAAGUGCCAGGGGGAGGCGGUGGCGGGGAGCGUCAACACUGGUGUCAGAGCCAGAAGGUCUGAGCCUUGAACUUCUGCUCUGCUACCUACAGGCUGCUUACUUGGGCAAUUGAGUAAACUCUCUGUGCUUCAGUUUAUCUCAUCUGUCAAUGUGAAUAACUACCUUCCUUACAGUGAACCCAGUAAUGAACAUGGAGCUAACUCUGUCCAGUUACUUUCCAGUCCUUUCCAAGACUAACUACAUGGCUCCCUUGGAUCCAUCAGGAACUCAGUAUUCUUAUAAUAAAUUUCCCUUUCUUGCUUAUGGCAGCAUAAACUGGCUUCAGUUUUUUGCAUCCACUAUUUCAACUUUAUAAUUAACAAACUAGUUCUUUUGACCUUCCUGGUUUCUAGAUACCUCAUCAUGACAGUUGCUUUUGCUUGCUUUUUUUUUUUUUGGAAAAAAUACUGAACAAAGAACUCCAGAUGCAGUCUGAUCUACACAAAGAAAAGUGAAACCAUUAUCUCGAGGUUCCAUUAAUGCAGCCUCAGUUGGCAUUGGUUUUUUUUUUUUUUUUUAAAGCAACACUACUUAUUCACAUGGAGCCUUUGAGAAUUAGAAUCUGCCAGAUCUUUUUCUUAAAAGGUACUAUCAAACCAAGUUCUAUGUUAUUAAUAUUCUGAAUUAAAUGCAAGAUACUAAUCCUAAUGAUUUCAACCCCACUUCAUUUUGAAAAAUGUUCUUAAAUCUUGGUUUUCCUGCUUUAUAAGUAAUCUAUUUUCUCCAGCUUUGUGACCUUCCCACCUUUGAUAAGCUGUUCUCCCACUAGUUAAUCUCAAGCCAGUAGUAAACACGAACAGAUAGGAGACAGUGGGAACUUCAGUCAAGUCUUCCUCCAGCUGAUGUCAUCAACACUCUUAGAAAGCAGGUUUACUCAGCUAUGCAUCUGCCCAGCUAUGCUAUUGCCAACCUGUGUUACCUGUCUUUGUAUUAGGAUGUCAUUAGAAAUUGUCAAGAGACAUCUUGAAACCGAGGCAUCUGGUACGUGUUGUAUAUCCUCGCCGCCUCAGUUCCAUGGUACCUAUUUUUCCAAGUAAAGAGUUCUUUGUUUGGGUGUUUUUCAUGCAUCCUUCUUUAGCUUUCUUAACACACUGCACUAAACAUCCCAUCUACCACAGAUCUAUAGAAUCCACUUACAUGUAUUUUUUCUGGUUAGUUCUGCCUCCUAUAUUUCAUAAUUGCCUCUUUAAACUCAGUGACUAUAAGGCUUUUGUAUUUAAAAACACCGUCUGGAUUGACUAUUCAUUGCAACUGAUCAAAACAACAUAAAUAUAUCACAAAAUGACUAGUAUUAAAAAAUAAAAUUUUAUUGGAUGUGCAACUUCAAUAAGAUGGGGUUUUCCCCACCCAAAUAGUCCAUGUAUAUUAAAAAUAUGACAUUACUAAAUAAGAUAGGGAUCAGCAUUGAUUCUACUCCUAUUUUUAAUUUGGAUAGAUUAAACUACUCUCUCCAAAAUUUAUUAACGUCAAUAGGAAGAUGGGAAUAGGAGUCUGUCACAGUAACACCACCUUAUUCUAUAAGUAUGUUCUGAGCUAAAAUGCAUAAUGAAUUAUUAAAAUUUUUUAAUGAUUAUUUAUCUAACAACUUGAUUAGACCAAUCUCCACCUCUCCUUUUUUUAAGAGCAAAAAGACACCUGGGGAAAAAACCUGAGUUAGAAAAAGAUUUGUUAUCUGGCCAUUAGAGUCCUUCACUUUCUCAACUUUCAUACCACAUUCUGAACUGUCCCUAUGCUGGGGUGAGACACCCCUGUAAGAUUUGGAAUGGAUGAGAUGUAUGCCUGUGGGUUGUAAAGUGGGUGAAGAGCAGUUGGGAAGGUGAAGAAGGAACAGAAUCAAUUACAGGACAUGAGGAAACUCCAAAAGACCACACUGCAGUGUAAGCAACUGUGUGACCACAACCAUGUCUUUCUGAGCAUGGGUGUUUCCCUGGAGUCCAGGGUAUGUCUGCUAAUCUCCACCGUGGCCAUCAUUAGCGCUCAUGAAAGCACAGAAUAUAGUCAUAUAUCUUUAAGAUCCCUAUAAUUUUUCUGGGUCCAAUCAGAUUCAUUACAGAAGAGAACUUACCCUCACUGCCUUCCCAUUUUCUGAGCAAUGAAAAGUGACAAUAAAGCAAAGAAUGCAUCUCACAGUCUGUCUGGUGUUUCUGGUGGCAGAAAUCUCUAGAAGUAUGGCUGGCUCUCCAUCACCACUCUGCCUGCCUAUGAGCCAGUGUUUCACCUUUGUUCUCAUCACCUGUAUGUACAUCCUCCUCUCUCCCUCAAGUCCUUAGCUUGGAACACAUCUUCAUAUGCGAUAUUUCUUCCCCACUGUUUAAUUAUAUCCACUUAAAUCCAGAUAAGGCAACCCAUGCUCCCACCAUUGUGACAAAGUUAUCCAUUUCAUCUGAUCAGAUCAGAAGAGGUAAAUGGUUUUAUUCAUAUUUUACAAAAGGGGAAAGUGAAGACCAGACUAUCCAAGGCACAGAGCAAGCUCCAAGAGACUAGGAAUGAAGGCCGGGGCUUUUAGGUUUCCACUUACACUCCCCCACCCAAUUUCAUCCCUGUCAAACAAAGAUAAUAAUAAAAAGUUAAAGGCACCAAAGGUACCAUGUCAACUUGAGGAAGCCAAUGUACUGAGGGUUGUGUACUGACUGGAGUUUUUAAAAGUCCACCUGCAUCUUGAAGGCACAGCACAGAGAAGGCUGAGUUGGAAGACAGAACAAAAACUCCCAAAGGCCUCUAAUAAGUCACAAAAGUUAUCAGAGGCCAAAGCAUGAUGACCAAUGUUAACAAGCCCAAGCACAUGAGGAGGUGAG